rnacentral:rRNA from 1 species
UACGUAGGGUGCAAGCGUUGUCCGGAAUUAUUGGGCGUAAAGAGCUCGUAGGCGGUCUGUCGCGUCGGCUGUGAAAACCCGGGGCUCAACCCCGGGCCUGCAGUCGAUACGGGCAGACUAGAGUUCGGUAGGGGAGUCUGGAAUUCCUGGUGUAGCGGUGAAAUGCGCAGAUAUCAGGAGGAACACCAAUAGCGAAGGCAGCUCGCUGGGACGUUACUGACGCUGAGGCGCGAAAGCGUGGGGAGCGAACAGG